GACGAACGCUGGCGGCGUGCUUAACACAUGCAAGUCGAACGGUAAGGCCCUUCGGGGUACACGAGUGGCGAACGGGUGAGUAACACGUGGGUGAUCUGCCCUGCACUUCGGGAUAAGCCUGGGAAACUGGGUCUAAUACCGGAUAGGACCACUGCCUGCAUGGGUGGUGGUGGAAAGCUUUUGCGGUGUGGGAUGGGCCCGCGGCCUAUCAGCUUGUUGGUGGGGUGAUGGCCUACCAAGGCGACGACGGGUAGCCGGCCUGAGAGGGUGACCGGCCACACUGGGCCUGAGAUACGGCCCAGACUCCUACGGGAGGCAGCAGUGGGGAAUCUUGCGCAAUGCGCGAAAGCGUGACGCAGCAACGCCGCGUGGGGGAAGACGGCCUUCGGGUUGUAAACCCCUUUCAGGAGGGACGAAGGUUCGCCGGUGAAUAGCCGUGCGGAUUGACGGUACCUCCACAAGAAGCUCCGGCUAACUAC
rnacentral:rRNA from 1 species